AAACUCUUGUUACUGUCUUUCAUUGUCAACACUACCUGCAAAGCAUCAAAGUGGAUAUAAAACUUGGGUCGUAAGCAAUGUGAGCAUCUUAAACUUACAGAAUGACAUAAUCAUCAAAAGAACAAAAUUUCAUGUCUAGUCUACUAGGACACGAUGGCAAAGAUUUUCUUUUUUUCACCUGUAUUUGGAACUAAUGCCAUAAAGCGUGCUCACCCACAAACGGAGUUUGCUUUUAAGGAAAAAGCAACCACAAAGAAGCAAGUCUUGGCAAGAGGUUAAUAGGUUAGCAGCAACUGGAGAAAAGAGAAACAGAAACCCAAGGUAGAAGAGAGAAGCUGGUAUGAGAUGAAGUUACUCAUAUUCAAGCUACUUCUUCACCAACCGGCACUUAUUGCGACAAAGAGAACUAAUUUGUGAAUUUAUGCUUCUCAGCUGGGGAUGGUAUUAAGGUUUGUUUUCCA